rnacentral:rRNA from 1 species
GACGAACGCUGGCGGCGUGCUUAACACAUGCAAGUCGAACGGAGUGGCGAACGGGUGAGUAACACGUGGGUGACCUGCCCUGCACUUCGGGAUAAGCCUGGGAAACUGGGUCUAAUACCGGAUAGUGGGGGAUGGGCCCGCGGCCUAUCAGCUUGUUGGUGGGGUAAUGGCCUACCCAGGCGGCGAAGGGUAGCCGGCCUGAGAGGGUGGACGGCCACAUUGGGACGGAGACACGGCCCAGACUCCUACGGGAGGCAGCAGGGAGUAAUAUUGCACAAUGGGCGGAAGACUGAUGGAGGGAGGCCGGGUGGGGGAUGACGGCCUUCGGGUUGUAAACUCCUUUCACCAGCGACGCGGUAGAUGGAGAAGAAGCACCGGCUAACUACGUGCCAGCAGCCGCGGUAAUUC